AGGUCAAUAUCACAGUCUCAAAAG
rnacentral:siRNA from 1 species